AGGGACUUUCUUUAACAGGUAUAAAAUAAACGUUUAAUUAUGAUGAAAUCACAGGCCCAGUUUACUUUGUUGAAUAUAAUAGCUGUAAUAAUGUAACAUAUAAUGCAAUAAUGUAAGCUAUUAAGUUCACAAGUUAAAUUAUCCAGCAUCUCAUUGUUUUUAUUCACUUGUUUGCACUUACAGCUGACAAGACAUAUAUAUACACUGUGCUACUAUUAUGAAACAAGUUCAUGGGUAUAAGAGAGCAAAAAAAAAGGCACCAUACCAAAGCAUGCACAAAAAACAAAAGCAAAAAAAAAAAGUAAACAAAAAAAACAAGAAAUUAAAUCAAAAGCUCAAAGCAGGGUGGCAAAGAUACACCAGUAGCACCACAGCUAUAAAUUGUUUACGGAAGUCUGAAUGUUUAAUUACGUCAAAGGAAUGCUAUAUGUCCUGAUAAAAAAGGCUCUUUGAAUAGCACAAACUGAAAUACUCAGGUUAUAUGGAUCGCUGAUGUCAGUCAGAAUCAGACAAAAGUUUUGGCUUAUCUUCUUAUCAGAAUGACCAACCACCAGUUAACCAACAAUUGUGAACAGACCCCUCUCGUUCUCCUGAGGUUUCUCGAUCUCCAGCUCUAGUGUUCUUGCGUAACUUGUUUUGGGGUCUCCUUUAGCCUUUUUGUUUUGUCUCUAAGCCAGGGGUUUUCAAAGUCAAAGACAGUGGGCCUCCCUUGUCACACAACCAGGGACGGAAUAUGACUUGCAAAGGCCCUGUGGCCAAUUAUCUCCAAGGGCCUCACUCUUUGCCUAUUAUUUUCAGAACUGUUUAAAUAAUAUUUUUAAUUUAAUAAUUAAACUCCACACACACACACACAAACCACAGUUAGUUCCGGUCCUCGAAUCUGAUUGGAUGAGAGACCGUUCCAUGAGCACUAAUGGUCUGACAGCAUCAGCACUCAGACGCUUCACUGCGUGUAUCACUCCGCUUGUGUUCGUGCAUUUCUAAACUAAAGUGUAAGCGUAGUGCAUAUGUGUUAGGAGUUACUGUCUUUAUUUUUGAAAUGACGUAUGUUAGUCAGCAGGUGGUGGCAAAAGAUCAUUUUUGUGUGUAAUAUGAGCCAGUUGGUGACAAAGUGAAUCCGUUAGUCAUUGUUUACAUAGAACAGCGCUCUGAGUAUCCACAUUGGAUACAUACUGUUUAAAAUGGCGGAGGACAUCACCGUUUCUAUAGUGAAUAACAUUUGCACACCGGCUACCCCGAAAUAGAGGAAUACUUGGACGCCUGUAUUCCACUGAGAAAGCAUCUCUGAUUAGGUGUGGAAACAGGUGAUCACACACACCCACCCUUGUUUAUCCAAUGACUUGUUGACAGCACAAGCUGUAAUACUAUUUCUGAAGUGAACAUUUUGAAUUACUAAUGGAGGCUUGGACGUUCUUUUUGUUGAUCAAAUAACACUCACACACACACACACACAGUUGUGUUUCCAUGUUUUAUGGGGACUUUCCAUAGACAUAAUGGUUUUUAUACUGUACAAACUUUAUAUUAUAUCCCCUAAACCUAACCCUACCCCUAAACCUAACCCUCACAGAAAACUUUCUGCAUUUUUACAUUUUCAAAAAACAUAAUUUAGUAUGAUUUAUAAGCUGUUUUCCUCAUGGGGACCGACAAAAUGUCCCCACAAGGUCAAAAAUUUCGGGUUUUACUAUCCUUAUGGGGACAUUUGGUCCCCACAAAGUGAUAAAUACACGCUCACACACACACACACACACACACACACACACACACACACACACACACACACACACACACACACACA